UUAAAUUAGGCCAAACCUGUUGUGAGGCAGGGACGGAAAGCCACGGGUCUUUAUUAAAAGACAGCCGGGUUGCAAGGC
rfam:Ferrimonas marina strain DSM 16917 genome assembly, contig: EK02DRAFT_scaffold00001.1